CCUACGGGAGGCAGCAGUGGGGAAUAUUGGACAAUGGGCGAAAGCCUGAUCCAGCCAUGCCGCGUGUGUGAAGAAGGCCUUCGGGUUGUAAAGCACUUUCAGUGGGGAAGAAAGCCUUGGGGCUAAUACCCUCGAGGAAGGACAUCACCCACAGAAGAAGCACCGGCUAACUCCGUGCCAGCAGCCGCGGUAAUACGGAGGGUGCGAGCGUUAAUCGGAAUUACUGGGCGUAAAGCGCGCGUAGGCGGUCUGAUAAGCCGGUUGUGAAAGCCCCGGGCUCAACCUGGGAACGGCAUCCGGAACUGUCAGGCUAGAGUGCAUGAGAGGAAGGUAGAAUUCCCGGUGUAGCGGUGAAAUGCGUAGAGAUCGGGAGGAAUACCAGUGGCGAAGGCGGCCUUCUGGACUGACACUGACGCUGAGGUGCGAAAGCGUGGGUAGCAAACAGGAUUAGAUACCCUUGUAGUC
rnacentral:rRNA from 1 species